rnacentral:lncRNA from 1 species
CUCCCAACCUUCCUUUUGUGGUCAUAAACCUUGUGUUAAAAUUUCAUUGAUUUCUAUUUACUUAUACUAAAGUUAUUGUGCGAAAACCAAGAAUAAUGCUUAUUUAAGCCCUUUUUUGGCCCUUAAUUCCUAAACUGUUGGAACCAAAACUCCCAAAAUCAAUCCCAACCUUCCUUUUGUGGUCAUAAACCUUGUGUCAAAAUUUCAUAGAUUUCUAUUCACUUAAACUAAAGUUAUAGUGCGAAAACCAAGAAAAUGCUUAUUUGGGCCCUUUUUGGCCCCUAAUUCCUAAAAUGUUGGGACCAAAACUCCCAAAAUCAAUCCCAACCUUCCUUUUGUGGUCAUAAACCUUGUUGUUAAA